AUCCACGUCUCGUGAUAUAGAACUUCCUCUAACAUCGAUUUCGAACCUUACUUCUCUUUGUUCAGUAAGAUUGAAGUCUAGUCUAGCUAACAACGAGUUUGUAACAUCUCCGAGCAACAUAUAUAAUGGCAAAGAAUGAAUUUUCACCUCUUUUAUUAUUGUCGUUGAUGGUGCUUGCUCUCUUCCUUAUGCCAAUAAUUUCAGGACAAAUGUUACCAUGUCUACCUGGAGAAUGUACAAAAACAGAAGCAUGCGAUGCAGCUUGCAAAUCUAAAGGAUACAAAGGAGGGGCUUGUAUAAGGAUGAGUUUUGGCGAAAAGACUGGUGCUUGUUGCUGCAAAGCUAACGUUGAAUCUCAGGAUUUUUCCAAAUCUGAUGAUACCAAUGAUGUCCGCAUUACUAAUUAAUUCAUCAUCUUAUAUUAAUGUAC